GGGUCCCGGCGCCCCAGCGUCCGAGCAGAAAAAGGCACAAUAAGACCGAUAGAACUGAAAAACCAAGAGAUUCACGUUGCCGUGUUGGAGGAAGGAAAGAGAGAUGCUUCUUUAAAUCCCAUCAUAAAGACACAUAGCCAGAGGCUCUCAACAUUCUUCAAAAAUGACGUUUUUUUUCAUAUUUUUCAAUUUUAUGUUUGAAUGAAGACUACUGUAUCAAUGCAGCGUUAGAAAAACUAAGGCUUACGUCUUGGCCCUAUGGAACAAGAAAUAAGAGGCGCCAGCCAAAGUUACAGCUUCGUAAUGAUGUAGCUAUCUUGAUUUAACAUACCUCACAAUCUUGUCCGUUAGUACACGCUUAACUUGCUUUACUAGUACGAGCUUUGCCGUUCUUGGCAUAGCUUAGCCCAUCUAUAUUUCCUUUACUGCUAAUAAUAAUGAUAGGAUGAGAAGGAGAAGAAAAAACGAAAAAGACUAUUGACCAUGAAU